rnacentral:rRNA from 1 species
UGUUGGGUACCUAGAUUUCCCAUAGCAAACUGCUUACUACCAUAUGAUCAACUUACCCUAUGGAGAAAUAUAACCUCGGGAAACUGAGGAUAAUACUUCAUAGUUGAAUAGGCUUGGAAAAGUUUUUCAAUGAAAGGGAUAAGAAAAAUGGUUCUUAUCUGCCAUAGGAUAGGAUCGUGCUCGAUUAUGGUUGUUGGUGAGGUAAAGGCUCACCAAGCCGAUAAUCGAUAGGGGCCGUGAGAGCGGGAGCCCCAAGAUGGGUACUGAGACAGCGACCCAGGCCUUACGAGGCGCAGCAGGUACGAAACCUCCGCAAUACACGAAAGUGUGACGGGGUUACCCAAAGUGUUCUUAUAGAACUGUGGCAGGUGAGUAAUGUCCCCUGCUAGAAAGGAGAGGGCAAGGCUGGUGCCAGCCGCCGCGGUAAAACCAGCUCUUCAAGUGGUCGGGAUAAUUAUUGGGCUUAAAGUGUCCGUAGCCGGUUUAGUAAGUUCCUGGUAAAAUCAGGUAGCUUAACUAUCUGUAUGCUAGGAAUACUGCUAUACUAGAGGGCGGGAGAGGUCUGAGGUACUACAGGGGUAGGGGUGAAAUCUUAUAAUCCUUGUAGGACCACCAGUGGCGAAGGCGUCAGACUGGAACGCGCCUGACGGUGAGGGACGAAAGCCAGGGGAGCGAACCGGAUUAGAUACCCGGGUAGUCCUGGCCGUAAACGAUGCAUACUAAGUGAUGGUACGGCCAUGAGCCGUGUCAGUGCCGUAGGGAAACCGUUAAGUGUGCCGCCUGGGAAGUACGGUCGCAAGGCUAAAACUUAAAGGAAAUUGGCGGGGGAGCACCACAAGGGGUGAAGCCUGCGGUUCAAUUGGAUUUCAACGCCGGG